rnacentral:rRNA from 1 species
CCUACGGGAGGCAGCAGUGGGGAAUUUUGCGCAAUGGGGGCAACCCCGACGCAGCAACGCCGCGUGAGUGAUGAAGGCCUUCUGGUCGUAAAGCUCUGUCAGAGGGGAAGAAAUGCAGGUGGUGAACAACCAUUCUGUUUGACGGUACCCUCAAAGGAAGCACCGGCUAACUCCGUGCCAGCAGCCGCGGUAAUACGGAGGGUGCGAGCGUUGUUCGGAAUUAUUGGGCGUAAAGCGCGUGUAGGCGGUUUGUUAAUUCUGAGGAAAAAGCCCCGGGCACAACCGGGAAAUUGCAUUGGAUACUGGCAGGCUUGAGUGCGGGAGAGGAGAGUGAAAUUCCCGGUGUAGG